UGGUGAUUAGGAUUGUGUUUUGAAAUCAUGAUCUACAACUGCAGCACUGUAAUUACAUAAAUAUGGCAUCAUAAAUGAAGGUUAGCGCUAGAAAUAGCAGAGCAGAGAGAGGUGCUAUUUGUCUCUAUGGAUGCAAGUGUAUGUGCAUAUUUUACAACAAAUCUCCAAUAUACGUGGUAUUUGGAAAUCCUUUGCUAGUCCAAGCAAGGGCAGCUUAAGAAAAAGAAUAAGUGCCUCAUUCUCGUUUUCAGCUGAAAAAGAUGACAGCAAAAAAGGCAGGUUUUUCUAGUCAUGGUUAAGUGGAAAUAAUUAGGUAAGAGCUAGGUUCUGACUGAGCUUUACACUGAACUCAGGGCCCUGCCCUGGCCCGUGCUGAGGGGGCCCAGGGCUCUGCCUGGGGGCAGCACUCAGUCUGGGGUGGUACAUCCUGUCAGUGGUACCACUCAGCACCCCCUGGAGCCCCAGGGAAUGUCUAUUAAGCACCAUUCAGAACAGGAGAACUACCUUCCUCCCUACUCUCACCCAUUCCUGCCCUCAGAUCACCAACCAGAUCUUCAACCCAUAGGGGUGGGAGUCGGAAGAUAAACAGCUCAGCUUCUUCCAUUCUCAGGAAAAAGGAAAAUUCUAAAGUGUAUUCCAUAAGAGUCACACGGAGUAAGUGGCAGUCCUAAAAUAUGUCAAAAAAUUCUUUGAACUUCAGUCUUUAAAAAGGUGAAGCCCAAUUCCCCUGCCCUCAAGUGCAAGAAACAUUUAGCGACACGCCUAAUGACUAGAACAUGAUGAGACUUCCCAGCUGAGGUGGUGAAAACGCGGCCUCUAGGGAAAGCCAGAGCCAUGUCGUGAGAACACAGGCAGCUCGCGGGGAGGCCCGCACAGCGAGGGACGAGGCGUGCCACCGACAACCAGCGCCCGCGCACCAGCUGCGUGGUGGAGCCUCCUUGGAGACGGAUCCUGCACCCCUUCCAGCCUUCAGAUGCUGCUGCUCCGACCACCAUCUUGACUAAAAUCUUACCAGAGGUCUUGAGCCAGAGCUGCCCAGAUAAGCCAGUUCUGAAUCCCUCAGCUACAGGAAAUGGCUGGUCUAAAACUGCUGAUCAACGUCACUUGUGAUUUACUGAAGUCAUGAACAAGCGACAUGCUGUGUGGGCAAGAAACAAUGAAGAGGAAACCUAUAUGUGUUAUGCUUUCUGUUCUGAUCGAAUAAAAUGGACAGCCAACUUCAGCUGUCAGACAUCUAAUCAUAA